rnacentral:rRNA from 1 species
GAAUGCUGACAUAAGUAACGAUAAAGCGGGUGAAAAGCCCGCUCGCCGGAAGACCAAGGGUUCCUGUCCAACGUUAAUCGGGGCAGGGUGAGUCGACCCCUAAGGCGAGGCCGAAAGGCGUAGUCGAUGGGAAACAGGUUAAUAUUCCUGUACUUGGUGUUACUGCGAAGGGGGGACGGAGAAGGCUAUGUUGGCCGGGCGACGGUUGUCCCGGUUUAAGCGUGUAGGCUGGUUUUCCAGGCAAAUCCGGAAAAUCAAGGCUGAGGCGUGAUGACGAGGCACUACGGUGCUGAAGCAACAAAUGCCCUGCUUCCAGGAAAAGCCUCUAAGCAUCAGGUAACAUCAAAUCGUACCCCAAACCGACACAGGUGGUCAGGUAGAGAAUACCAAGGCGCUUGAGAGAACUCGGGUGAAGGAACUAGGCAAAAUGGUGCCGUAACUUCGGGAGAAGGCACGCUGAUAUGUAGGUGAAGCGACUUGCUCGUGGAGCUGAAAUCAGUCGAAGAUACCAGCUGGCUGCAACUGUUUAUUAAAAACACAGCACUGUGCAAACACGAAAGUGGACGUAUACGGUGUGACGCCUGCCCGGUGCCGGAAGGUUAAUUGAUGGGGUUAGCGCA